rnacentral:rRNA from 1 species
UACGGAGGGUGCAAGCGUUGUCCGGAGUCACUGGGCGUAAAGGGCGCGUAGGCGGCUCAUGAAGGCUGUGGUGAAAGUCCGGGGCUCAACCUCGGAUCGGCCGUGGCGACUCGUGGGCUGGAGCACUGUAGAGGCGGGUGGAAUUCCGGGUGUAGCGGUGGAAUGCGUAGAGAUCCGGAAGAACACCAGUGGCGAAGGCGGCUCACUGGCCCGGUACUGACGCUGAGGUGCGAAAGCGUGGGGAGCAAACAGG